rnacentral:rRNA from 1 species
CCUACGGGAGGCAGCAGUGGGGAAUAUUGGGCAAUGGGCGCAAGCCUGACCCAGCAACGCCGCGUGAAGGAAGAAGGCUUUCGGGUUGUAAACCUCUUUUCUCAGGGACGAAGCAAGUGACGGUACUUGAGGAAUAAGCAACGGCUAACUACGUGCCAGCAGCCGCGGCAAUACGUAGGUGGCAAGCGUUAUCCGGAUUUACUGGGUGUAAAGGGCGUGUAGGCGGGACUGCAAGUCAGAUGUGAAAACCAUGGGCUCAACCUAUGGCCUGCAUUUGAAACUGUAGUUCUUGAGUACUGGGGAGGCAGGCGGAAUGCCUGGUGUAGCGGUGAAAUGCGUAGAUAUUAGGAGGAACACCAGUGGCGAAGGCGGUCUGCUGGACAGCAACUGACGCUGAGGCGCGAAAGCGUGGGGAGCAAACAGGAUUAGAUACCCCAGUAGUC